GAUGAACGCUGGCGGCGUGCCUAAUACAUGCAAGUCGAGCGAACAGACGAGGAGCUUGCUCCUCUGACGUUAGCGGCGGACGGGUGAGUAACACGUGGAUAACCUACCUAUAAGACUGGGAUAACUUCGGGAAACCGGAGCUAAUACCGGAUAAUAUAUUGAACCGCAUGGUUCAAUAGUGAAAGACGGUUUUGCUGUCACUUAUAGAUGGAUCCGCGCCGCAUUAGCUAGUUGGUAAGGUAACGGCUUACCAAGGCAACGAUUCGUAGCCGACCUGAGAGGGUGAUCGGCCACACUGGAACUGAGACACGGUCCAGACUCCUACGGGAGGCAGCAGUAGGGAAUCUUCCGCAAUGGGCGAAAGCCUGACGGAGCAACGCCGCGUGAGUGAUGAAGGUCUUCGGAUCGUAAAACUCUGUUAUUAGGGAAGAACAAAUGUGUAAGUAACUAUGCACGUCUUGACGGUACCUAAUCAGAAAGCCACGGCUAACUACGU
rnacentral:rRNA from 1 species